rnacentral:piRNA from 1 species
CGGACCUAGAUGGCUCUCGAUAAGCCCUG